rnacentral:rRNA from 1 species
GCUUAACACAUGCAAGUCGAACGAGAGUUUUUAACUCUAGUGGCGAACGGGUGCGUAAUACGUGAGAAUCUGCCCUUAGGAGAAGAAUAACUACUGGAAACGGUAGCUAAGUCUUCAUAUGCCGAGAGGUGAAAUAGUUUCAACUGCCUAAGGAUGAGCUCACGCCUGAUUAGCUUGUUGGUGAGGUAACGGCUUACCAAGGCCACGAUCAGUAGCUGGUUUGAGAGAACGGUCAGCCACACUGGGACUGAGACACGGCCCAGACUCCUCCGGGAGGCAGCAGUGAGGAAUUUUCCGCAAUGGGCGAAAGCCUGACGGAGCAAUACCGCGUGAGGGAUGAAGGAUUUUGGUCUGUAAACCUCUUUUCUCAAGAAAGAAGUUCUGACGGUACUUGAGGAAUAAGCAUCGGCUAACUCCGUGCCAGCAGCCGCGGUAAUACGGGGGAUGCAAGCGUUAUCCGGAAUCAUUGGGCGUAAAGCGCCUGUAGGUUGUUUAGUAAGUCUGUUGUUAAAGACCAGGGCUUAACCCUGGGAAAGCAAUGGAAACUACUAGACUUGAGUAUGGCAGGGGUAGAGGGAAUUUCUAGUGUAGCGGUGAAAUGCGUAGAUAUUAGAAAGAACACCGGCGGCGAAAGCGCUCUACUGGACCAUUACUGACACUCAGAGGCGAAAGCUAGGGGAGCAAAAGGGAUUAGAUACCCCUGUAGUCCUAGCCGUAAACGAUGGAUACUAGAUGUUGCGCAAUUUGUGCAGUAUCUUAGCUAACGCGUUAAGUA